AGACGUGGCUGAGCGACAGACGAGGAGCUUGCUCCUUUGACGUUAGCGGCGGACGGGUGAGUAACACGUGGGUAACCUACCUAUAAGACUGGGAUAACUUCGGGAAACCGGAGCUAAUACCGGAUAAUAUUUCGAACCGCAUGGUUCGAUAGUGAAAGAUGGCUCUGCUAUCACUUAUAGAUGGACCUGCGCCGUAUUAGCUAGUUGGUAAGGUAACGGCUUACCAAGGCAACGAUACGUAGCCGACCUGAGAGGGUGAUCGGCCACACUGGAACUGAGACACGGUCCAGACUCCUACGGGAGGCAGCAGUAGGGAAUCUUCCGCAAUGGGCGAAAGCCUGACGGAGCAACGCCGCGUGAGUGAUGAAGGUCUUCGGAUCGUAAAACUCUGUUAUUAGGGAAGAACAAACGUGUAAGUAACUGUGCACGUCUUGACGGUACCUAAUCAGAAAGCCACGGCUAACUACGUGCCAGCAGCCGCGGUAAUACGUAGGUGGCAAGCGUUAUCCGGAAUUAUUGGGCGUAAAGCGCGCGUAGGCGGUUUUUUAAGUCUGAUGUGAAAGCCCACGGCUCAACCGUGGAGGGUCAUUGGAAACUGGAAAACUUGAGUGCAGAAGAGGAAAGUGGAAUUCCAUGUGUAGCGGUGAAAUGCGCAGAGAUAUGGAGGAACACCAGUGGCGAAGGCGACUUUCUGGUCUGUAACUGACGCUGAUGUGCGAAAGCGUGGGGAUCAAACAGGAUUAGAUACCCUGGUAGUCCACGCCGUAAACGAUGAGUGCUAAGUGUUAGGGGGUUUCCGCCCCUUAGUGCUGCAGCUAACGCAUUAAGCACUCCGCCUGGGGAGUACGACCGCAAGGGUUGAAACUCAAAGGAAUUGACCGGGGACCCGCACAAGUC
rnacentral:rRNA from 1 species